GACCGCUCCUGUGGCCUAGUGGUUAGAGCGUCAGCCUCAGAUGCAAAAGAUCACGGGGUUCGAAUCCCGGCAGAGUCA